UGAGGAAUAUUGGUCAAUGGGCGGGAGCCUGAACCAGCCAAGCCGCGUGAGGGAGGUAGGCCCUAUGGGUCGUAAACCUCUUUUGUCAGGGAACAAAAGCGAGUAUGUAUACUAGUCUGAGUGUACCUGAAGAAAAAGCAUCGGCUAACUCCGUGCCAGCAGCCGCGGUAAUACGGAGGAUGCGAGCGUUAUCCGGAUUUAUUGGGUUUAAAGGGUGCGUAGGCGGCGGUGCAAGUCAGCGGUAAAAGCCCGGGGCUCAACCCCGGCGAGCCGUUGAAACUGCAGUGCUAGAGAAGGCGAGAGGUACGCGGAAUGCGCAGUGUAGCGGUGAAAUGCUUAGAUAUUGCGCAGAACUCCGAUUGCGAAGGCAGCGUACUGGCGCCUGACUGACACUGAGGCACGAAAGCGUGGGGAUCGAACAGGAUUAGAUACC
rnacentral:rRNA from 1 species